GAGCCUGACGCAGCACGCCGCGUGAGUGAUGAAGGCUUUCGGGUCGUAAAGCUCUGUCGAGGGGAAAGAAGUGUAUUGUGGUUAAUACCCAUGAUACUUGACGGUACCCCUAAAGGAAGCACCGGCUAACUCCGUGCCAGCAGCCGCGGUAAUA
rnacentral:rRNA from 1 species